rnacentral:rRNA from 1 species
UACGUAGGGGGCUAGCGUUGUCCGGAAUCAUUGGGCGUAAAGCGCGCGUAGGCGGCCAGAUAAGUCCGGUGUGAAAGCCACAGGCUCAACCUGUGAAUGCCGCUGGAAACUGUCUGGCUAGAGUCCGGGAGGGGCGAGUGGAAUUCCUGGUGUAGCGGUGAAAUGCGCAGAUAUCAGGAGGAACACCGAUUGCGAAGGCAGCUCGCUGGGACGUUACUGACGCUGAGACGCGAAAGCGUGGGGAGCAAACAGG